UACAGAGGUCCCAAGCGUUGUUCGGAUUCAUUGGGCGUAAAGGGUGCGUAGGCGGCGCGGUAAGUCGGGUGUGAAAUCUCGGGGGCUUAACUCCGAAACUGCAUUCGAUACUGCCGUGCUUGAGUGUGGGAGAGGCUCGUGGAAUUGCAGGUGUAGCGGUGAAAUGCGUAGAUAUCUGCAGGAACACCCGUGGCGAAAGCGGGCGAGCUGGACCACUACUGACGCUGAAGAACGAAAGCUAGGGGAGCAAACAGG
rnacentral:rRNA from 1 species